rnacentral:rRNA from 1 species
GUCUACGGUCAUACUACCCUGAACACGCCCGAUCUCGUCUGAUCUCGGAAGCGAAGCAGGGUCAGGCCUGGUUAGUACUUGGAUGGGAGACCGCCUGGGAAUGCCAGGUGCUGUAGGCU